GCUAGUCGUGCGCCUCCAGGCCACGGUGGAGGUGCGGCGCACAGCUCAGUAACACGUGGCUAACCUACCCUUGGGACGGGGACAACCCCGGGAAACUGGGGCUAAUCUCUGAUAGGUGAGGACUCCUGGAAUGGGUCCUCGCCGAAAGGGCGCCUAGACCAUGCUCCUAGGCGCUGCCCAAGGAUGGGGCCGCGGCCGAUCAGGUAGUUGGUGAGGUAACGGCUCACCAAGCCUAUAACCGGUACGGGCCGUGGGAGCGGGAGCCCGGAGAUGGACACUGAGACAAGGGUCCAGGCCCUACGGGGCGCAGCAGUCGCGAAACCUCCGCAAUACGCGAAAGCGUGACGGGGUCACCCCGAGUGCCGUCCGCUGAGGACGGCUUUUCCCCAGUGUAGCCAGCUGGGGGAAUAAGGGGAGGGCAAGUCGGGUGUCAGCCGCCGCGGUAAUACCCGCUCCCCGAGUGGUGGGGACGCUUAUUGGGCCUAAAGCAUCCGUAGCCGGCUGGGUAAGUCCCCUGUUAAAUCCAGCGAUUCAAUCGCUGGACUGCGGGGGGAUACUGCCCGGCUAG
rnacentral:rRNA from 1 species